rnacentral:tRNA from 1 species
AAGACACUAGUAAAACCAUUACGCUGCCUUGUCAAGGCAAAAUUGCAGGUUAGAUUCCUGCGUGUCUUA